UAUGGCACAUUGUUAUGUUCAAACUACCGGUAUGCAUAAUCUUACAGUGGCUAAUAAUAACAUCAAAUAUACAUUUUAAGAAUACAUGUAAAGCCUGUUUUUGAUCACUACUUUUAGGUCUACUACGUUAUUGUAUGUUAGUUAUGUUCAAACAAACAGAUGGCUAAAUGCAGAACAAGUGCACACAAGUACAAUCAACCUACAACUUUUUCCUUCAGGGUUUGGAGGGCACACUGAUGGGAAGGCAGGCAAAGAGGAUGAUGAUGUGGAUGGGUGAGGCAAUGGUGAUGACAAUGAAGAUGCACACUCAAGUGAUGUACUUC